AUUCUGAAGGUAUCAUACACAAACUGACGUCACAGAGAACCAACAGUAAAGCAGAAUAAAGCAGAUAGUCAAAUUUUUAUUCAAACAAUAGGAACAACAGGAAGUGGGAAAUUCGUGGUAAAUGGCAAUGCAUAAGUAUUUUCCUUAUAAGAUAGUCAUUGCAUUCAAAUUCCUCACAACCCAUUUAUCACAAUUGCAGUUCAACAAAGUUGUAUCAGUAGUGCACAGAUUAGUGAAGGUACUUUUAUCUUUCAUAUGCUUCAUCUCUAAAGUAGCCCCAAUAGCACUUCCAUCAACACGAGAUAAAAACAAUUCUGAAGUUCAGAACUUGCCCCGAUGUCUUUAGAUCAAGCCUUUGCUCCUGCAAAUCCAAUUUUAAAAAUUCAGACAAAUCGACCCAAUUCCAAAAACAUCUCAAGUGUAAAUCAGAUCAGGAGGAGGAUUAAUGGCAGAGAAAGGG